rnacentral:rRNA from 1 species
GACGAACGCUUGCGGCGUGCCUAAUACAUGCAAGUAGAACGCAGUUGCGAACGGGUGAGUAACGCGUAGGUAACUGCCUGGUAGCGGGGGAUAACUAUUGGAAACGAUAGCUAAUACCGCAUACUACCAGAUGGACCUGCGUUGUAUUAGCUAGUUGGUGGGGUAACGGCACACCAAGGAAACGAUACAUAGCCUGCCUGGGAGAGGGAUCGGCCACAAGGGGAAUGAGACACGGCCCUGACUCCGACGGGAGGCAGCAGAAGGGAAUCUUCGGCAAUGGACGGAAGUCUGACCGAGCAACGCCGCGUGAGUGAAGAAGGUUUUCGGAUCGUAAAGCUCUGUUGUAAGAGAAGCGGUAUCUUACCAGAAAGGGACGGAUAACUACGUGCCAGCAGCCGCGGUAAUUC